rnacentral:rRNA from 1 species
UACUCUUGACAUCCAGAGAACUUAGCAGAGAUGCUUUGGUGCCUUCGGGAACUCUGAGACAGGUGCUGCAUGGCUGUCGUCAGCUCGUGUUGUGAAAUGUUGGGUUAAGUCCCGCAACGAGCGCAACCCUUAUCCUUUGUUGCCAGCGGUUAGGCCGGGAACUCAAAGGAGACUGCCAGUGAUAAACUGGAGGAAGGUGGGGAUGACGUCAAGUCAUCAUGGCCCUUACGAGUAGGGCUACACACGUGCUACAAUGGCGCAUACAAAGAGAAGCGACCUCGCGAGAGCAAGCGGACCUCAUAAAGUGCGUCGUAGUCCGGAUUGGAGUCUGCAACUCGACUCCAUGAAGUCGGAAUCGCUAGUAAUCGUGGAUCAGAAUGCCACGGUGAAUACGUUCCCGGGCCUUGUACACACCGCCCGUCACACCAUGGGAGUGGGUUGCAAAAGAAGUAGGUAGCUUAACCUUCGGGAGGGCGC